AAAGUGUAGAAGAAGAAAAGCGGGACAAAGACAGAGUAUUGGGUGACCUACGUUCCUGUGGUGGUGAACAUGACUGCGAGUUCUCCAGAAGAACAAAUGCUGGGAACUAAAUGAAGAGGAAUGAAUGAAAAGUGGUAUCCAAUCUGUGAUAUUAUUGGGGACCUGAUUAUGGUUCAGAACGAUCUAUAAAACAUAACUGACUACUAAAAUCAGAUUGUCAAAAUGUCCCUCCACUGCAGCAACAUCCAUCUACCAAGAGGAAGAGGAAAACGGAUCGUUGUCUGAGAUCCUAACCAGGACAACAAGGACAUCACGGAGGAGAUCAUAUCAGAAGCUGGCAGGAGUCGGAAGCCCACUCUGCCAGUGGGAAAUGUCUUUUCCGUCCCUAUGCCUCUGCAGUGGUGGAAAAUGAGCACGUCUAUAAUGUGGACAGAGCUCAGGGCCCACCUGCUCCUGGCGACUUGAAACCAGAUGAACAGCUUGAGAGUUAUUCAGUAAAAUCUGCUGCAUUAGAUGGCACUGAAAAGUCUACCUCUUCAGCUGAGCCCGGUCCUGCACAAGCCGUCACACCAAAGCCAGAUAAAACAGAGCCUGUGCACGUGCCCCCAGAGGUUCCAGCUUCUGCUCUAUUCACCAUCGAUGAGCCGAAACAGACACGGCUCCUCGUCCUGACGACUCCCAAUCGCUCAGAGAGGAUAAGCCAGAGCUCGCUUUCCAGCAGUCUGACUUUGACCUUGAGCCAGUCUCAACCACAGUCGAGAAUUCCAGUGUGUCUCCUGUGAUUGUGGAGCAUC